rnacentral:rRNA from 1 species
AUACGGAGGGUGCAAGCGUUAUUCGGAAUCACUGGGCGUAAAGGACGCGUAGGCGGGUUGGCAAGUCAGAUGUGAAAUCCUACAGCUUAACUGUAGAACUGCAUUUGAAACUGCUAACCUAGAGUAUGGGAGGGGGAGAUGGAAUUAGUGGUGUAGGGGUAAAAUCCGUAGAUAUCACUAGGAAUACCGAAAGCGAAGGCGAUCUCCUGGAACAUAACUGACGCUAAGGCGCGAAAGCGUGGGGAGCAAACAGGAUUAGAAACCCCAGUAGUCC